rnacentral:rRNA from 1 species
GACGUAGGGCGCGAGCGUUUGUCCGGAUUUAUGGGCGUAAAGAGCUCGUAGGCGGCUUGUUACGUCGUUCGUGAAAACUUGGGGCUCAACCCCAAGCUUGCGGUCGAUACGGGCAGGCUAGAGUUCGGUAGGGGAGACUGGAAUUCCUGGUGUAGCGGUGAAAUGCGCAGAUAUCAGGAGGAACACCGGUGGCGAAGGCGGGUCUCUGGGCCGAUACUGACGCUGAGGAGCGAAAGCGUGGGGAGCGAACAGG